AUCAAAUCUCUGACUACACAUUUCUUGCUGGAGUUUAUUUCAAUUUUCAUCCCAGAAGGCUUCAGAAAAAAAGGUGUUAUAAUGCCGGAAGAGAAGAAGGAAGAAAAACUAAAGCCAUGCUGUGCCUGUCCAGAAACCAAAAAGCCAGAGAUCAAUGCAUAAUCGAAAAAGGAGAAGAAAAUUGUGGAGAGCUGAUUGAGAAGCACAAAGAAUGUAUGAGAAAAUUGGGAUUUAACAUAUGAUAGCAGAUAGUCAUCAGUUGAUAAGAAUGGGAUGCAUCUUCAUAUUAAGCGGAUGUUGUGCCUUUUUGUUGAUAAUUCACCCAUGUGUGCCACAUGAUAUGACUUACAAUGCAAUGUAAAUAAAUAUAAAAAUGAAAACAAAAAUUGAUA